rnacentral:lncRNA from 1 species
AGACGCUGUCCCAUCUCCUGGAUGAGGUUGGCCGCCUGCUGGCGGCACGAGAGCUCUUUAUCCGCCUCCACUCCGCAGCGGCGGCUCGGCGUGUUCUCCAGCUGUUCCCGAGUAAAGAACCAGCGAGAAGAAGCUCCACGGCCCGACGCCAUGACACUUCCUCCUCCGCCCGCUCCUUCAUUCACCCCCCGCCCCUCCUGGCUCGCGGACUCCCCGCCAAGGCGCGCGACCCCGCCCCACUCCGCUCGCCGUAGACCACGCACCACCCUUUUUCACCACCGCCUCCGCCCUUGCGCAUGCGCGGGGCCCGCUCUACCGACUCGCCCUAGUCUUUUGCUUUCUUUUUCUGCCCUCGGCCUCGCUCUUGCGCACGGGACCACAAUGCUCCGCGCCGCUUGUCAUUGGGAGGCGCCGAAGGUGGAGAGGUCGGCUCGGAAGGAAAAGAUCACUCACUCUUGGGGGCAUCCAGCAGCCAUGUUGUGAGGACACUCAAGCAGCUGUGAAGAGGUGCACCUGGAGAGGAACUGAGGCCUCCCACCAAAACCAAGCACUGACAUGCCACUCAUGGGUAAAAUCCACCUUGAAUGUAAAUCCUUUAGCCCCAGCCAAGCUUUUAGAUAACUACAGCCCUGACUGACACCUUG